UACGAAGGGUGCAAGCGUUAAUCGGAAUUACUGGGCGUAAAGCGCGCGUAGGUGGUUCGUUAAGUUGGAUGUGAAAGCCCCGGGCUCAACCUGGGAACUGCAUCCAAAACUGGCGAGCUAGAGUACGGUAGAGGGUGGUGGAAUUUCCUGUGUAGCGGUGAAAUGCGUAGAUAUAGGAAGGGACACCAGUGGCGAAGGCGACCACCUGGACCAACACUGACACUGAGGUGCGAAAGCGUGGGGAGCAAACAGG
rnacentral:rRNA from 1 species